UACGAAGGGGGCUAGCGUUGCUCGGAAUUACUGGGCGUAAAGGGCGUGUAGGCGGUUGGUUAAGUCGGGUGUGAAAGCCUGAGGCUCAGCCUCAGAAGUGCAUCCGAAACUAGCCAGCUGGAGCGCGAUAGAGGAGGGUGGAAUUCCUGGUGUAGCGGUGAAAUGCGUAGAUAUCAGGAGGAACACCGGCGGCGAAGGCGG
rnacentral:rRNA from 1 species